CUGGUUUGGUCCCAUAUGAUGGCCAGAUUCAUCUCGAAGAAGACCAAGACCUAGCUACUCCGUCAUUCCGAAUCGGCUAAGGGCGUGAUAGUGGGUGGAGAUCGACGGAGUGAGGCUGUUGGAGGAUCACGUCCACCGUCUUAUGGUGAAGAAGGCCACACCCGAUUGGCUUCCCUUCCUCCCCGGUUCCUCCUUCUGGGUCCCACCUCCUCCUUCCCCUCUCCUUCACAAAUUCUCCAUCCCCUCUCAUCCCUUCUUCCUUCAACAAGACGACGAAUCUGGGAAUGCUAUUGCCACCCCACGAGGGACAGAGGUUACUGUGCAACUCAAGGUUAUGUCACCCACUCAAAACCUUGCUCUCUCUGAAGAUGAGGAAGGAUGAUCAUCAUGCUAAGUGUUUGUGUGUGUUGAUAUCAUUUCAGAAUUGUCUUUGGAUUCGACUUAAAGCACAUGCCUUGCUGAGCUCAAACUAUGUAUAAUUUUCAGGGUUGCAACCUUAACUCAAUGAGAGGGAACUAAACUAUUUGAAGAUCAAGAAGCUUGCUUGCAUAGAAGACAGUGCAUGAAAAUGAGAAUUCCUGCACAGGUUAACCAUUGGUUGCUUUUGGAUUAGCCAUUCUCACGUUUUUUGGUCUCAAAUGUUAUUUGUAUAUAAUUUGGUUGGUGACCAAGCACUUCAAAAAUAACCAAUGUGUGUAGAAUAAUAUUGUCCAUGUUGGUAUGUUGAACCUUUUACAUUGGGUGAUGUAUCAUGUAUAUAUUUGUGUAACUAAUAAAGCAAAAAGCUUCUUUGAGCAUUCCUCUGAACGACCAAACAUCUGCUCAAUUCAA